ACAUGCUUCCUUAUAUCCCCAU
rnacentral:miRNA from 1 species